rnacentral:rRNA from 1 species
UCCGGUUGAUCCCGCCGGAGGUUACUGCUAUCGAGGUUCGACUAAGCCAUGCGAGUCGAAUGUAGCAAUACAUGGCGUACUGCUCAGUAACACGUGGACAACCUACCCUUAGGUCGGGGAUAAACCCGGGAAACUGGGUAUAAUACCCGAUAGUCCUCGGAUGCUGGAAUGCACCGAGGUCUAAAGCCCGGCGCCUAAGGAUGGGUCUGCGGCCUAUCAGGUAGUAGUGGGUGUAGCGUACCUACUAGCCUACGACGGGUACGGGUUGUGAGAGCAAGAGCCCGGAGAUGGAUUCUGAGACACGAAUCCAGGCCCUACGGGGUGCAGCAGGCGCGAAAACUUUACAAUGCUGGAAACAGCGAUAAGGGGACCUCGAGUGCCAGGUUACAAAUCUGGCUGUCGUGAUGCCUAAAAAGCAUUGCAUAGCAAGGGCCGGGCAAGACCGGUGCCAGCCGCUGCGGUAACACCGGCGGCUCGAGUGGUAACCGCUAUUAUUGGGUCUAAAGGGUCUGUAGCCGGCCGGAUAAGUCUUUUGGGAAAUCUGGCAGCUUAACUGUCAGGCUUUCAGAGGAUACUGUCUGGCUCGAGGCCGGGAGAGGUGAGAGGUACUUCAGGGGUAGGGGUGAAAUCUUGUAAUCCUUGAAGGACCACCAGUGGCGAAGGCGUCUCACCAGAACGGACCUGACGGCAAGGGAC